CAGUAAUGGCGAAUGAACAGGGAUGAGCUCAGUAUGGAAAUUGGGGCCUGUGGCCUUGAAUUGUAAUCUGGAGAUGUACCACCAACUGGGGCGCAGAUGUAAGCCUCUUGGAAAAGAGCAUCAAUGAGGGUGAGAGUCCCGCUUGGCAUCUGCAGUCCCCAGUGCACGGUGUACCUUCUAAGAGUCACGUUCCUCGGGAUUGGAGCGCAAAUCGGGUGGUAAGUUUCAUCUAAAGCUAAAUAUAGUUUCGAGACCGAUAGCAAACAAGUACCAUGAGGGAAAGGUGAAAAGGACUUUGAAAAGAGAGUUAAAAGUGCCUGAAAUUGCUGAAAGGGAAGCGAAUGGAACCAGCGUAACUUGGCGAGAUUGCUGCGUGUCAAUGUGAUUGCUUGCUGCUUCAACGUAAGUGUUGUAGUAAGUCUUGAACAGGACAUGCGCGGUGCUUCUUGCCUUGUGUGUCACCGUCAAUUCGCAACUGGGGAAAACUUCAGGGACAUGGUAGCCUGUCUCCGGGUGGGUGAACGUGUUUGCUGGAACUCAUUUGCGGAUUGCUUGGUGACUAAAUGGUUCCAUCUGACCCGUCUUGAAACACGGACCAAGGAGUCUAACAUAUGUGCAAGUUCACGGGUGUUAAACCUGCUUGCGUAAUGAAAGUGACUGCUGGGAUUUUUGCACCAGCAACCGACCAAUCAAUUGAGAGAGGUUUGAGUAUGAGCAUAUCUGUUAGGACCCGAAAGAUGGUGAACUAUGCCUGUGAAGGGCAAACUCAGGGGAAACUCUGAUGGAGGCUCGUAGCGNU
rnacentral:rRNA from 1 species